GCCCCCCCCCCCCACUGCCAGGCUGGAUCUCUUUUUAAAAUUGUGUGUGUUUACAUGUGUCUGUGUUACCUGUGUGGGUAUCCAGAGGCCUGAAGAGUCUCAGAUCUCUUGGAACUGGAAUUGCAGGCAUUCAUGUUGACAGUUGUGGGUGCUGGGAUAGAAGUUCAUUCUCUCAACUGCUGAACUAUUGUAGUGAUGUAUUAUUUAUGAUUUACUAAAGCUUGCCUGAGGAUUCAGAAAGCAAAGUCAGCCACAAGCCUUAGAAGUCAGGCCCACCCCUUUAAUCCCAGCAGACAGAAGCUAGGAGGAGGAGGCACACAUCUGACCGGGGAUGUCCACCUGUGUGCUGUGAAUAUGUUUCUCUUAUUAGUUGUUCCUCACAGCUGGGAAGAAAGAGCAAUGAAAAUCAACCAAUGCUGGAAUGGAGGCUGAGAUGCUCACCGGGUGAAGGAGCCACAGUUCCUAAGCAUGUCCACAAAUGCGACACCAAUGAAACCAUCCACAUUCAGGAUAAGAUUUGGCUUCUGGGAAAGCAAAAAGUUCACAGUUUUAUCAUUUCUCACUUUUUCCCUUUGUUAGCUACUACCACUGUUAUUACUACUAUUAUUUUUUAAUUUUUUUGGUUUUUCGAGACAGGGUUUCCCUGUAUUGUUUUUUGGAGGCUGUCCUAGAACUAGCUCUGUAGACCAGGCUGGCCUCGAACUCACAGAGAUCCACCUGUCUCUGCCUCCCGAGUGCUGGGAUUAAAGGUGUGCGCCACCAAUGCCCGGCUUAUUACUACUAUUAUUAUGACAGUUCAUUUUGAUAAAUAGCUUGACUAGACUGAGAAGCUCCUGGGAGAUCAGUAAAGCUCACGUCUAGGUGUGUCCACACGAACUUUCCAGAGAGGGUUUGAUACAGGGAGACCUGCUGUGACUGUGGAAAGCACCAUCCCACAAGCUAGGAGCACAAAUGGAGGGGAACAAGAGCUAGCUGGGACAGCAUGAGCCACUGUCCUGCCAGGCCUCCCGCCACCCCAGCCUGGAACCACUGUAAGUCAACACACCAGUCCUCCCUGUAAUGUGCUCUGCCAGGUGUUUAUCAGAGCAAUGGGAAGUGGCUAACACGCUCACUAUGAAUUUUGAAACCAUUUUAAAAUGACCAAUUUGAGCAGGGUACAGAAGAUGGACAGCAUCCUCUACUAAGCCAACUGUACUACACAGCCCUUGUCACGAAAGCCUCCAACAGUAAGUAAGCAAUCCACCCCUCUGUUACCUUCGAGGUGGUGAUCUUCUCCACUUCCAGGGCGUAAUCAAGCAGCGGGGUGGCGGGAAAGUGCUGUUUGACAAAGUCUUUGAGGAUCUGCACUCGCAUGUCUGGGUUGUUUAUCUAAAAAAAGACCCCGUUACAGAAACAUCGCCUCAGACACAGCAGGCCACGGAAGUGCUUGUGCUGCAAGUGGACAGAGCUGUCCCUGUCCUAUCCUGGAGUCAGCAUGAGGACCCAAUCUGUGUCCAAUUCCUUAUAACUCCCAUAAUGACAAUGCUGGGAGGCAGAAGAGUUCCCUCAUGUCUCAUUUUGGCCUCUAAACAACCUCUGUAGUGAUCCCUUUGUUACAAGAAAGGAAUUGAGUCCCCUAGAUGUUCAGGAAGUUACCCAGUAUCUGUGGUGUUAGGUAGAGGGGGCUGGACGCAGUCACUCUCCACCAUGUUUGGGUCUGGCUAUAAGCUCUGUCAUCUGGUUAAGCUACAGAAAUGUUCUGCACAUGCAAGGAACAGGGCAGCAAUGCACCCCAAAAUCUUAAAAAAAAAUCUAGAACUGGAACAUUGACAGAUAACAAAUAACAUCUGUUAAAAGAAUAUCCUGUCCUGGUUUAGGUUUUUUUGUUUGUUUGUUUGUCUGUCUGUCAGUAAACUAGAGUUUUUUGGGAAGAGAAACCUCAAAUGAGAAAUUGCCUCUAUCAGAAUGGCCCACAGGCAACUUUGCUGGAGCAUUUUCUUGAUUGAUAUUAAUGUGGCAGGUCCAGCUACUAUGAGUGGUGCCACCUGGUGGUCGUGGGUUGUAAAAGAAAGCUAGCUGGCCAAGUCAGUGAGUAAACAGUGAUCUUCUAUAGCCUCUACUUCAGGCCCUGUCUGGAGUUCCUGUCCUGACUUCCCUCACCUAAGAGUUAUGAGAUGACGCAAACCCUUUCCCUCCCUAAGUAGCUUUUGACUGGGAUAUUUUUUAUCAUAGUGACUGAAACCCUAACUAAGCUGGGUGUAGUGGGGCAAGCUUUUAAUUCCAGGAUUUGGGAGGCAGAGACAGGAUGAUCUCCUGUGAGCUCAAGGCCAGCCUAGACUACAUAAGGAGUUCCAGGACAGCCAAGGCGUAGAAGAGAGACCCUGUCUCACUAAACAAAAUGAAGAGGAAGAGGAGGAACCCUAAGACAGAGAACCCAGGGCUGACAGUGGGAAAACUGAAGCUGAAUGAACUGAGAACUCUUAGGGUCAUCAAUUUGUAUUAUGAUGGGGAAAGAGUCACCUUGCAUUUGACAUCUGUCUACAUGUCCCGAGAUCCUAAUGGGAGCAACAAGUUACCGAUUUCACCCGGUGGCCAAUGCCCAUGAUCAGUUUGCCUUCCUUCUUCAUCUUGUUCACAAACUCCAUAGGAAUAAUGCCACUGUCAAAGGCUUUACUGAACAUCUUCGCUGCUGCAUCCAAGGCACCCCCAAACCGAUCUCCCUGCAGGAGAAAACAAAGCCACACUGCCCUGAGUGUGAUGGUUUUCCUAGCUCUGCAAAUCAACCCAGGAUGCCCAGAACAGCAUCUGGCCUGGGGGUUUAUACCCAGAGGCUCUUAGGAGGAGCCUGCUGCAUUUAUAAAGGCAGCAUGAAGCCAAAGCUGUUACCUCCCUCCCAGGAAGGCCAAACUUACAAUGGUGAGCAACCCUGAUGUGAGGCUGGAGACCAGAUCCUUUCCAGCCCGGGCACAGAUGAUGGUGUUGUGGGCCCCAGAGACAGCGGGCCCAUGAUCAGCUGUUACCAUCAGACACAUCUCAAUGAACUGGCAGGAGUACUUGGGCAACCUAGAAGGGGCACACAGAGGUGCAAGGGAGAAGAGUUGGAACAAAGUCCAGAAGCUAUGGUGGCAAGGGUACUUUCUAUCACCAAUUCCAAAUCAAACUGCUCCUUAUUCCUGCAGUUAUUAAACUCAGCAGAACAUGAUAUUAAUGACCAAACCAUCUUUCUGCCCAUAAAGAUUUCUGAAUGUUCAACAGCCAAAAUUCUAACCAAACUGUAAUAAAUCUGCAAUGUUUGCCCA